GCGGCUGUGGCGGAAUUGGCAGACGCGCUAGAUUCAGGUUCUAGUGGGUGCAAGCCCGUGGGAGUUCAAGUCUCUUCAGCCGCACCA
rnacentral:tRNA from 1 species